rnacentral:rRNA from 1 species
GCGUAGAACGGGUCAUCAGGCGGGGUAAGACGGAUGGCCGGAGCGGUAGCCGGAUUUAUUGGGCGUAAAGCGAGCGUAGAAGGUUCGAUAAGUCGGAAGUGAAAGCGCAGAGCGCAACUGUGGAAUGGCUUUGGAAACUGUCGAACUUGAGUGCAGUAGAGGUAAGUGGAACUCCAUGUGUAGCGGUGGAAUGCGUAGAUAUAUGGAAGAACACCAGUGGCGAAGGCGGCUUACUGGACUGCAACUGACGUUGAGGCUCGAAAGUGUGGGUAGCAAACAGGAUUAGAUACCCUUGUAGUC